AUGUCGAUGGUACUGUGCACAUGCGUUAAGCCGUUUUACAACAUAGCGCUAAGCCGUUCUACGCAGCUCAGGGAGGUGAAGGAGCUCCCCUUGGGUUCAUCUUGCAGGUUUUGUUCAAAUCUUGGCCACCUAGGCCGUUCAACAACACCACUAGAGCACGUUCAGUUGGUGGCGUUCCAACUAGCCACUCAAAGUUGUGGCCAUUUAAUGACACUUUCUACAUUUGAGACAUGUGAAACUGUAGCCUUCCAGUGUUACCGUUUGGUAGCUCAGGAUGCUUUAUGUUUUGGAGAUCUACAGAGUGACUAUCUGAGAGCUGUGUUGGACUUUCUCAUUACAGCAUGGAACUUCUCUAAAAAUCCCAGUUGA
rnacentral:rRNA from 1 species